rnacentral:rRNA from 1 species
AUUGAACGCUGGCGGCAGGCUUAACACAUGCAAGUCGAGCGGGGUGAUGGUGCUUGCACUAUCACUUAGCGGCGGACGGGUGAGUAAUGCUUAGGAAUCUGCCUAUUAGUGGGGGACAACAUCUCGAAAGGGAUGCUAAUACCGCAUACGUCCUACGGGAGAAAGCAGGGGAUCACUUGUGACCUUGCGCUAAUAGAUGAGCCUAAGUCGGAUUAGCUAGUUGGUGGGGUAAAGGCCUACCAAGGCGACGAUCUGUAGCGGGUCUGAGAGGAUGGUCCGCCACGCUGGGACUGAGACACGGCCCAGACUCCGACGGGAGGCAGCAGUGGGGAAUAUUGGACAAUGGGGGGAACCCUGAUCCAGCCAUGCCGCGUGUGUGAAGAAGGCCUUAUGGUUGUAAAGCACUUUAAGCGAGGAGGAGGCUCUUUUGGUUAAUACCCAAGAUGAGUGGACGUUACUCGCAGAAUAAGCACCGGCUAACUCUGUGCCAGCCGCCGCCGUAAGAC